rnacentral:rRNA from 1 species
GAUGAACGCUAGCUACAGGCUUAACACAUGCAAGUCGAGGGGCAGCGGGUUGAAAGCUUGCUUUCAAUGCCGGCGACCGGCGCACGGGUGCGUAACGCGUAUCAAACCUGCCUCAUACUCGGGGAUAGCCUUGCGAAAGUAAGAUUAAUACCCGAUGUUGUUGCUUUCUCGCAUGGGAGAGUAACCAAAGAUUUAUCGGUAUGAGAUGGUGAUGCGUCCGAUUAGGUAGUAGGCGGGGUAACGGCCCACCUAGCCUUCGAUCGGUAGGGGUUCUGAGAGGAAGGUCCCCCACACUGGAACUGAGACACGGCCCAGACUCCUACGGGAGGCAGCAGUGGGGAAUUUUGGACAAUGGGCGCAAGCCUGAUCCAGCCAUGCCGCGUGUCUGAAGAAGGCCUUCGGGUUGUAAAGGACUUUUGUCAGGGAAGAAAAGGCUGUUGCUAAUAUCGACAGCUGAUGACGGUACCUGAAGAAUAAGCACCGGCUAACUACGUGCCAGCAGCCGCGGUAAUACGUAGGGUGCGAGCGUUAAUCGGAAUUACUGGGCGUAAAGCGAGCGCAGACGGUUACUUAAGCAGGAUGUGAAAUCCCCGGGCUCAACCUGGGAACUGCGUUCUGAACUGGGUGACUAGAGUGUGUCAGAGGGAGGUAGAAUUCCACGUGUAGCAGUGAAAUGCGUAGAGAUGUGGAGGAAUACCGAUGGCGAAGGCAGCCUCCUGGGAUAACACUGACGUUCAUGCUCGAAAGCGUGGGUAGCAAACAGG